AAAGUCGUAACAAGGUAACCGUAGGUGAACCUGCGGUUGGAUCAUUAAAAAGAUCUAGCCCGAACUUGGACGAGAUCAUUCGAUCGCGUUCGACGCCGGGUUUUCUCACCUAAAAAGUGAGUCAACAUUAUGUGAACUGUUCUGUCUCUGGCGGUGGGGUGGUGUCAAAACCAUCUGUCAGCAUCCGAGUUCUCUCGGUGUGCCGUGGACAAGCCGUCAAUGGUGUAUGUUUCAUACAAACUUUUGUUUCAUCAAUCUGUCUGACAUACCCUUUGUAUCUAAAAUAUACAAAAACAACUUUUGGCAACGGAUCUCUUGGCUCCC
rnacentral:misc_RNA from 1 species